GGUGANUAACGCGUAUGCAACCUGUCCGUUACAGGGGGAUAGCCCAUGGAAACGUGGAUUAACACUCCAUAAUAUAAUAUAGAGGCAUCUUUGUGUUAUUAAAUAUUCAUAGGUAACGGUUGGGCAUGCGUCCUAUUAGAUAGUUGGGGGGGUAACGGCCCACCAAGUCGAUGAUAGGUAGGGGUUCUGAGAGGAAGGUCCCCCACACUGGUACUGAGACACGGACCAGACUCCUACGGGAGGCAGCAGUGAGGAAUAUUGGUCAAUGGGCGAGAGCCUGAACCAGCCAAGUCGCGUGAGGGAUGACUGCCCUAUGGGUUGUAAACCUCUUUUGUAUGGGGGGAAUAAGCUUUACGAGUAGAGUGAUGACAGUACCAUACGAAUAAGCAUCGGCUAACUCCGUGCCAGCAGCCGCGGUAAUACGGAGGAUGCGAGCGUUAUCCGGAUUUAUUGGGUUUAAAGGGUGCGUAGGCGGCAUUAUAAGUUAGUGGUAAAAUAUUGGGGCUUCACCUCACUACGCCAUUAAUACUGUAGAGCUAGAGAACAGACGAGGUAGGCGGAAUAAGUUAAGUAGCGGUGAAAUGCAUAGAUAUAACUUAGAACACCGAUAGCGAAGGCAGCUUACCAGACUGAGUCUGACGCUGAUGCACGAGAGCAUGGGUAGCGAACAGGAUUAGAUACCCUGGUAGU
rnacentral:rRNA from 1 species